rnacentral:rRNA from 1 species
AUUGAACGCUGGCGGAAUGCUUUACACAUGCAAGUCGAACGGCAGCACGGGGCAACCUGGUGGCGAGUGGCGAACGGGUGAGUAAUACAUCGGAACGUGCCCAAUCGUGGGGGAUAACGUAGCGAAAGUUACGCUAAUACCGCAUACGAUCUACGGAUGAAGGCGGGGGAUCGCAAGACCUCGCGCGAAUGGAGCGGCCGAUGUCAGAUUAGGUAGUUGGUGGGGUAAAGGCUCACCAAGCCAACGAUCUGUAGCUGGUCUGAGAGGACGACCAGCCACACUGGAACUGAGACACGGUCCAGACUCCUACGGGAGGCAGCAGUGGGGAAUUUUGGACAAUGGGCGCAAGCCUGAUCCAGCCAUUCCGCGUGCAGGAUGAAGGCCUUCGGGUUGUAAACUGCUUUUGUACGGAACGAAACGGUCUGCCCUAAUACGGCGGGCUAAUGACGGUACCGUAAGAAUAAGCACCGGCUAACUACGUG